rnacentral:lncRNA from 1 species
GUUGAAGUAAUCUCCAAAGAGAUUAUCAAACCAUCUUCUCCAACCCCUGACCAUCUUCUCCACUACCAAUUCUCCUUUCUUGAUCAAAUAGCUCCCCAAGUCUACAACCCUUUGCUCCUUUUUUAUGAACACAAUGCCAAGACACAACCCAACAGCACUGAAAUAUCCAACCACCUCAAGAACUCAUUAUGCGAGGUCUUAAACCUUUUCUACCCUCUAGCAGGACGCAUCAAGAACAACCAGUUCAUACAUUGCAAUGACGAGGGCAUCCCUUUCGUCGAAGCUCGAGUACUGGAUUGCACACUUUCUGAUGUUCUCAGCAACCCUAUCCCUGGUGAGCUUAACAAGUUCAUGCCCUUUGAACUUGAUGAUAUUACCAAUUCAUUGCCCCUAGGGGUCCAACUCAACAUAUUUCCAUGUGGAGGCUUUGCAAUUGGUCAAUGCAUUUCUCACAAGAUUGCUGAUGGGUUGUCGUAUUUCAUGUUUAGCAAAAUUUGGGCAGCCAUUGCUCGUGGAGACCAAGCCAACAUAAACCCUCCGGAGUUUGUCUCAUCCACACUCUUCCCACCAAAGGAGUUUAAUAUUGGAUUUGAUAGUAGCGUUGGCAUCACAAAGGAUAGACUAACAAAGCGGUUUGUGUUUGAUGCCUCUCAAAUAGAGAACCUCCGAGAAAGAUAUGAACAAAGUAUGCACAAUAUGAAGAAACGCCCAACACGUGUGGAAACUUUAUCCACUUUCUUAUGGAGUCGGUUUGUUGCGGCUACAAAGGAUAGUACCUUGAAUAAGUUGUACAGGGUGGUACAUGCUGUGAACUUGCGUCCGAGGUUUGAUCCACCAUUGCCUCAAAGUUUUUUUGGGAAUCUUUUUCGUUUGGCCAUUACAGCUCCACUGCAAAUUCCAAGUAGUGGUGGUAGCGAUGAAGAAUGUGGUCAUGGCGUGGUGAUCCCAGUGGUACGAGAAGCAAUGGACAAUAUAGACAAUGAGUACAUAAAGAAAUUACAAAAGCAAGGUGAUGAGCACUUAGGUGUGAUGAAAAAACAAGCUGAUAGUUUUAAGAGAGGAGAGAUGGCUACAUCCCUUAACUUUAGUAGCUAUUGUAGAUUUCCUCUUUAUGACAAUGAUUUUGGUUGGGGGAGGCCUACAUGGGUCGGCUCACCGGCACUCACCCUACAAGAAUGUUGUGCUUUUCAUGGACACAAAAGAGGGUGGUGGAAUAGAGGCAUAUGUUAGUUUGGAGGAGGAAGUCAUGGCUAAGUUUGAAUGUGAUAGCGAGUUGCUCUCCUAUGUUGCUCCAACCGGUCGGGUGCUCCUAUGCUAAGGAAAUAA